rnacentral:rRNA from 1 species
GAUGAACGCUAGCUACAGGCUUAACACAUGCAAGUCGAGGGGCAGCGCAGUGUAGCAAUACAUGGGCGGCGACCGGCGCACGGGUGCGUAACGCGUAUCCAACCUUCCCGUUACUCAGGGAUAGCCUUCCGAAAGGGAGAUUAAUACCUGAUGGUAUCAGAAUUUCGCAUGUUAUUCUGAUUAAAGAUUUAUCGGUAACGGAUGGGGAUGCGUGACAUUAGGUAGAUGGCGGGGUAACGGCCCACCAUGCCUACGAUGUCUAGGGGUUCUGAGAGGAAGGUCCCCCANACUGGAACUGAGACACGGUCCAGACUCCUACGGGAGGCAGCAGUGAGGAAUAUUGGUCCAAUGGUCGGAAGACUGAACCAGCCAAGUAGCGUGAAGGAUGAAGGUUCUAUGGAUUGUAAACUUCUUUUAUACGGGAAUAAAACCACCUACGUGUAGGUACUUGUAUGUACCGUAUGAAUAAGCAUCGGCUAACUCCGU